rnacentral:lncRNA from 1 species
ACCCCCAUGUCCCCCGCAGCUGGGGGACACGCGGGCUGCGGACGAGGGGGAGCYGCUCGCCCCGCGCCGAGGGUGCCAGGGGUGCCGGCGCGUCCCCGUCCCAUCUCGUCCCGCUGACAGGUGGCCCUGGCGCGGUGACAGCGGCGGCUAUUUUCGCGGUGACCUCUGCGAGCGCCGCGGCCGGGGGGCCAGGCCGGGAGCCUCCUUCCCUGCCGCCGCCGCCGCCGCCGCAUUCCCGGAGCUGCCGGAGAGUCCGGCGUCACCCGAAGCUGGCUGUGCCCCUGCCGGGCCCCGUCCUUCCUCGUCCCUCGCGGGCGCGCGUCGGAGCGUGGGGGGGUAUUUUUAGACUUCCUUCCGGGCGCGCGRUCCAACGUCCCGGAGCGCGGCGGCGGGAGCCCGGUGCGGAGCCGGUGGCGUCGGCACCCCGUCUCUCAACGCCGCCGGUCACCCCUGCACUCGGAGCGCGUCCCCGGUUCCUGUGAGCUUCCAUUGAAAGCCGAAUUGCUUCCUGGCCUCGCGGCUGCCAGCGGCCUCCGGCUCCCGGAGCCGCUGCCGCCUCCGGGACCUGGGCCGGCACCCCCAGCCGGCGCAGGGGCAGGAGGGGGGCAUCGACCCUGGGGCGCGCGCGGUGUCCCCGCUUGCCCGUGCCUCGGUUUCCCUCCGGCGCGCAGCGGGGGGCCGCGGGGCUGCUGCAGGACCGUUGCCGCCGCCUCACCCGCGCUGCCUCUGCCUCCGCAGGUUUCAGAAGCACGUGCACACCUACCGCAUCCUGCCGGACGAGGAGGAGUUCCUGGCCGUGCAGACCUCGCAGGGCGUGCAGGUGAGGCGCUUCAAGACCCUGAGCGAGCUCAUCGCCCUGUACCUGCAGCCCAACCAGGGGCUGGUCUGCACCUUGCUCUUCCCCGUCGAGAGGGAGAAGGAGAAGGAGAACGUGGAGGACAGGGACUACUCGGGUACGGCGCGGCGCCCGGCCCCCAUCCCCCGUUCCCCGGCACCGCGAGCGAGUCCCGCGGCGCUCUG